UACGUAGGUGGCGAGCGUUGUCCGGAUUUACUGGGCGUAAAGAGCGCGCAGGCGGUCGUUCAAGUCGCGUGUGAAAGCCCCCGGCUCAACUGGGGAGAGUCACGCGAUACUGAUCGACUCGAAGGCAGGAGAAAGAAGUGGAAUUCCCGGUGUAGUGGUGAAAUGCGUAGAUAUCGGGAGGAACACCAGUGGCGAAGGCGACUUCCUGGCCUGUUCUUGACACUAAGGCGCGAAAGCUAGGGGAGCAAACAGG
rnacentral:rRNA from 1 species